rnacentral:rRNA from 1 species
CCUACGGGAGGCAGCAGUGAGGAAUAUUGGUCAAUGGCCGGAAUGCUGAACCAGCCAAGCCGCGUGAGGGAGGAAGGCGCAGAGCGUCGCAGACCUCUUUUGCCGGGGGACAAAAGGCCGGACUCGUCCGGGCCUGAGGGUACCCGGAGAAAAAGCAUCGGCUAACUCCGUGCCAGCAGCCGCGGUAAUACGGAGGAUGCGAGCGUUAUCCGGAUUCAUUGGGUUUAAAGGGUGCGCAGGCGGGCCUUUAAGCCGGCGGUGAAAUCGCGGGGCUCAACCCGGUCGAGCCGUCGGAACUGGGGGACUUGAGUGCGGCGGAGGCAUGCGGAAUGCGCGGUGUAGCGGUGAAAUGCAUAGAUAUCGCGCAGAACCCCGAUUGCGAAGGCAGCGUGCCGUGCCGACACUGACGCUGAGGCACGAAAGCGCGGGGAUCGAACAGGAUUAGAUACCCCUGUAGUC